rnacentral:rRNA from 1 species
GACGAACGCUGGCGGCGUGCCUAAUACAUGCAAGUCGAGCGGACAGAUGGGAGCUUGCUCCCUGAUGUUAGCGGCGGACGGGUGAGUAACACGUGGGUAACCUGCCUGUAAGACUGGGAUAACUCCGGGAAACCGGGGCUAAUACCGGAUGGUUGUUUGAACCGCAUGGAUCAAACAUAAAAGGUGGCUUCGGCUACCACUUACAGAUGGACCCGCGGCGCAUUAGCUAGUUGGGGAGGUAACGGCUCACCAAGGGAACGAUGCGUAGCCGACCUGGGAGGGUGAUCGGCCACACGGGGGCUGAGAGACGGCCCAGACUCCUACGGGAGGCAGCAGAAGGGAAUCUUCCGCAAUGGACGAAAGUCUGACGGAGCAACGCCGCGUGAGUGAUGAAGGUUUUCGGAUCGUAAAGCUCUGUUGUUAGGGAAGAACAAGUACCGUUCGAAUAGGGCGGUACCUUGACGGUACCUAACCAGAAAGCCACGGCUAACUACGUGCCAGCCGCCGCCGUAA